AUUGAACGCUGGCGGCAGGCCUAACACGUGCAAGUCGAGCGGAUGAAGGGAGCUUGCUCCUGGAUUCAGCGGCGGACGGGUGAGUAAUGCCUAGGAAUCUGCCUGGUAGUGGGGGAUAACGUCCGGAAACGGGCGCUAAUACCGCAUACGUCCUGAGGCAGAAAGUGGGGGAUCUUCGGACCUCACGCUACCAGAUGAGCCUAGGUCGGAUUAGCUAGUUGGUGGGGUAAAGGCCUACCAAGGCGACGAUCCGUAACUGGUCUGAGAGGAUGAUCAGUCACACUGGAACUGAGACACGGUCCAGACACGUACGGGAGGCAGCAGUGUAGAAUAUUGGACAAUGGGCGAAAGCCUGAUCCAGCCAUACCGCGUGUGUGAAGAAGGACUUCGAAUUGUAAAGAACUAUAAGUUGGGAGGAAGGGCAGUAAGGUAAUACCUUGCUGUUUUGACGUUACCAACAGAAUAAGCACCGACUGACUUCGUG
rnacentral:rRNA from 1 species